rnacentral:rRNA from 1 species
AGUGAACGCUGGCGGUAGGCCUAACACAUGCAAGUCGAACGGCAGCACAGUAAGAGCUUGCUCUUACGGGUGGCGAGUGGCGGACGGGUGAGGAAUACAUCGGAAUCUACUUUUUCGUGGGGGAUAACGUAGGGAAACUUACGCUAAUACCGCAUACGACCUACGGGUGAAAGCAGGGGAUCUUCGGACCUUGCGCGAUUGAAUGAGCCGAUGUCGGAUUAGCUAGUUGGCGGGGUAAAGGCCCACCAAGGCGACGAUCCGUAGCUGGUCUGAGAGGAUGGUCGGCGGCACGGGAAGGGGACCAGCGACCCUGGUACUGAGGGAAGGACCAGUCGGGUAAGGGGGGCAAUAGGGGGAAAUCUGGCACAAGCGGAGCGGGUGGGAGGAAGAAGCCCUGCGGGUGGGAAGACCGUUUGUUGGGAGAAAAAAGCAUCCGGUUGAUACCCCGCGUGUGUGACGGUAACCAAAAAAGAAGCACCGGCUAACUUCGUG